UACGUAUGGAGCAAGCGUUAUCCGGAUUUACUGGGUGUAAAGGGAGCGCAGGCGGUCUGGCAAGUCUGAUGUGAAAGGCCGGGGCUCAACUCCGGGACUGCAUUGGAAACUGUCAGACUGGAGUGUCGGAGAGGUAAGCGGAAUUCCUAGUGUAGCGGUGAAAUGCGUAGAUAUUAGGAGGAACACCAGUGGCGAAGGCGGCUUACUGGACGAUGACUGACGUUGAGGCUCGAAAGCGUGGGGAGCAAACAGG
rnacentral:rRNA from 1 species